rnacentral:rRNA from 1 species
AGUGAACGCUGGCGGUAGGCCUAACACAUGCAAGUCGAACGGCAGCACAGUAAGAGCUUGCUCUUACGGGUGGCGAGUGGCGGGCGGGUGAGGAAUACAUCAGAAUCUACUAUUUCGGGGGGGAUAACGUAGGGAAACUUACGCUAAUACCGCAUACGACCUACCGGUGAAAGCAGGGGAUCUUCGGACCUUGCGCGAUUGAAUGAGCCGGUGUCGGAUUAGCUAGUUGGCGGGGUAACGGCACACCAAGGCAACGAUGCGUAGCUGGGCUGAGAGGAUGAUCAGCCACACUGGAACUGAGACACGGUCCAGACUCCUACGGGAGGCAGCAGUAGGGAAUAUUGGGCAAUGGGCGAAAGCCUGACCGAGCAAUACCGCGUGGGUGAAGAAGGCCUUCGGAUUGUAAAGCCCUGUUGUUAGGAAAGAACAGCUGUGUAUUAAACUAUCGCUGUCUUGACGGUACCUAAAGAAUAAGCACCGGCUAACUUCGUG